UUUCAGCAAACUACACAAAAACAGUUGUAAGAAGAUAGCACCGUUGCUAUGUAAACAAACAGCUGUCAACUGCCAAGCUCCUGUCAAAGUGGACCAAAUCUGGAUAUGUUUCGAUCUCCAACAUGACGUGUCAUUUGUCACAAUGGUUCAGGAGAAGCGAAACUAAGAGGCAAGGGUUUGAACACUCUACUCAAAGAAUUAACUCUUUGUAAUGAUUCUUUACAAUCAACUCUUUAAUAAAA
rnacentral:lncRNA from 1 species